GUGCUCACUUCGGCAGCACAUAUACUGAAAUUGGAACAAUAGAGAAGAUUAGCAUGGGCCCUGCAUAAGGAUGACACGCAAAUUCGUGAAGCGUUCCAUAUUUUU
rnacentral:snRNA from 1 species